CAACGGAGGGGAAAAACACAGAAGAAACCUCUUCCAACCCCCCAAAUCCCUCAGGGAAUGCCCCUGUCCUGUGUUUGAAAUCAAGCCGUCACAAUUGUGCACGAUCAUUUUAAAUAAUAUAUAUA